CUUUUAUAAUAUAUUUGGCUAAUUAUUCUAGCCUUCCAUUAUACUCCCUAUCGGCCGCAGCUUCUGUGCGUGCCGAUAUUUAUUUACAUAUACCCCGCCCACUCUCCCUUCUGUUUGGCCGCAUUUACACUCCACUAAGACAGCGCAUGCGCGCAGACAGAGAAUUGUAUUACUACAGUUCCCAUCAACCAUUGCGGUACGCGGAUCACGUGACCGCACAUAAACAACUGUUGUUAUGCAUAAAUAACGCUCGUUUUUGACGUUUAAUAUUGGCAAACAUGUGUAAAGAUUAU